rfam:Camelus ferus unplaced genomic scaffold scaffold886, whole genome shotgun sequence.
GAGGGUAUAGCUCAAGCGGAAGAGCACAUGCUUAGCAUGCAUGAGGUCCUGGGUUCAAUCCCCAGUAACUCCU